GGGGAUAUAACUCAGUUGGUAGAGUGCUUGCCUUGCAUGCACAAGGCCUUGGGUUCAAUCCCCAGCACACACA
rnacentral:tRNA from 1 species